rnacentral:misc_RNA from 1 species
GAUAUUGGGUUUGUUGAACAACUUGAUCUCAUUCCUGAGUUGGGUUUGGUUUAUAUUUAUAGAUCACGUCUACUGCUCGCAUUCUCUGUGUUAUUUUUGCUGCUUUGCUUUAUUUAUUGCCUAAGAUUUCUUUUCCCCCAGCUUAUUCUUUUGUUUAGUGGUAAAAACUGUGCGAACUAUUUGUGUACUAAAAUUUUCUUCUUGUCCCCACUAAGUGAAUCUUUAUUUGUUUAAAUCUCUGACUUGCAGGAAAUGUCUGCGCGAGUUGUG